rnacentral:rRNA from 1 species
UACGGAGGGGGGUUAGCGUUGUCCGGAAUCAUUGGGCGUAAAGAGCGUGUAGGCGGUCCGGUAAGUCCGCUGUGAAAGCGGGGGCUUACCUACCGCGAUGCCGGUGGAAUACUGUCGGGCUUGAGUACGGAAGAGCGAGUGGAAUUCCUGGUGUAGCGGUGAAAUGCGCAGAUAUCAGGAGGAACACCAAUUGCGAAGGCAGCUCGCUGGGACGUUACUGACGCUGAGACACGAAAGCGUGGGGAGCAAACAGG